rnacentral:rRNA from 1 species
CUCGUAGGCGGUUCGGUAAGUCGGGUGUGAAACCUCCAGGCUCAACCUGGAGACGCCACCCGAUACUGCUGUGACUAGAGUCCAGUAGGGGAGCGUGGAAUUCCUGGUGUAGCGGUGAAAUGCGCAGAUAUCAGGAGGAACACCAGCGGCGAAGGCGGCGCUCUGGGCUGGAACUGACGCUGAGGAGCGAAAGCGUGGGAGCGAACA